rnacentral:rRNA from 1 species
GGCGAACGCUGGCGGCGUGCUUAACACAUGCAAGUCGAACGAUGACGACCGAGCUUGCUCGGUCUGAUUAGUGGCGAACGGGUGAGUAACACGUGAGCAACCUGCCCUUCACUCUGGGAUAACCUCGGGAAAUCGGGGCUAAUACCGGAUAUGAGCUCCUGUCGCAUGGCGGGUGUUGGAAAGUUUUUCGGUGAAGGAUGGGCUCGCGGCCUAUCAGUUUGUUGGUGAGGUAGUGGCUCACCAAGGUGAUGACGGGUAGCCGGCCUGAGAGGGCGACCGGCCACACUGGGACUGAGACACGGCCCAGACUCCUACGGGAGGCAGCAGUGGGGAAUAUUGCACAAUGGGCGAAAGCCUGAUGCAGCGACGCCGCGUGAGGGAUGACGGCCUUCGGGUUGUAAACCUCUUUCAGCAGGGAAGAAGCGAAAGUGACGGUACCUGCAGAAGAAGCGCCGGCUAACUACGUG